UCCCUGGUGGUCUAGUGGUUAAGACGCAGAGCUUUCACUGCUAUACCCUGGGUUCAAUCCCUGGUCUAGGAA
rnacentral:tRNA from 1 species